AGUGAACGCUGGCGGUAGGCCUAACACAUGCAAGUCGAACGGCAGCACAGUAAGAGCUUGCUCUUACGGGUGGCGAGUGGCGGACGGGUGAGGAAUACAUCGGAAUCUACUUUUUCGUGGGGGAUAACGUAGGGAAACUUACGCUAAUACCGCAUACGACCUACGAGUGAAAGCAGGGGAUCUUCGGACCUUGCGCGAUUGAAUGAGCCGAUGUCGGAUUAGCUAGUUGGCGGGGUAAAGGCCCACCAAGGCGACGAUCCGUAGCUGGUCUGAGAGGAUGAUCAGCCACACUGGAACUGAGAAAAGGUCCAGACUCCUACGGGAGGCAGCAGUGGGGAAUAUUGGACAAUGGGCGCAAGCCUGAUCCAGCCAUACCGCGUGGGUGAAGAAGGCCUUCGGGUUGUAAAGCCCUUUUGUUGGGAAAGAAAAGCAGCAGGUUAAUACCCCGCUGUUCUGACGGUACCCAAAGAAUAAGCACCGGCUAACUUCGUG
rnacentral:rRNA from 1 species